AUUGAACGCUGGCGGCAGGCCUAACACAUGCAAGUCGAGCGGUUGAAGGGUGCUUGCUCCUGGAUUCAUCGGCGGACGGGUGAGUAAUGCCUAGGAAUCUGCCUGGUAGUGGGGGAUAACGUCCGGAAACGGGCGCUAAUACCGCAUACGUCCUGAGGGAUAAAGUGGGGGAUCUUCGGACCUCUCGCUAUCAGAUGAUCAUAGGUCGGAUUAGCAAGUUGGUGGGGUAAAGGACCAGCAAGGCGGCGAUCCGUAACUGGUCUGAGAGGAUGAUCAGUAACACUGGAACUGAGACACGGUCCAGACUCCUACGGGAGGCAGCAGUGGGGAAUAUUGGACAAUGGGCGAAAGCCUGAUCCAGCCAUGCCGCGUGUGUGAAGAAGGUCUUCGGAUUGUAAAGCACUUUAAGUUGGGAGGAAGAGCAGUAAGUUAAUACCUUGCUGUUUUGACGUUACCAACAGAAUAAGCACCGGCUAACUUCGUG
rnacentral:rRNA from 1 species